GUCAGUAAUUGGACAAUAAAUGGUCCGUAAUUUUUCAUUUUUUGUCCGUAGAGUCCGUAUUUUUAAAUAGUAUCACUGGUUCGAGCCCUGAUAUUACUGUACUUAAAUAAUUACUAAAAAGGUAACAACUAAUGUAUCUAUGCGAAACCCAAAAAUUUGAAAAUCGUAUGUACAGAAAAUCAAGUGGGACCACGGGUUUGUCAGAUACCGCCAGACAUUAGUGGAGGGGUCUUGUGGUCGACACGUUCAGUGUAAGCGGAAAGUGAAAGGUGCGCUACAGCGAUGCGCGUACGGUUGCCAGGGUGGGGGAAUGGAAUGGUGGGAGAACAUGUACCUCAGGCGAUUCAGAAGGCAAAGUAACUCAUUCUGUUUCAGCUUCUCGCACCAGCAGGAUCAGCAGCCUCUCCACUGGGACCAGCACUCUCCAGUCUUCUUACUUGCAGCCACUGGUACAGCACUGAAGUAGAGGGCGCGGGAUCCACACACUCUGUUCCAGCUUUUCGUACCGGCAGCAUCAGGGGCUCUCCACUUGAACCAGCACUCCAGUCUUUUUUACUCUGUUACAGAUUCUUACAACCACUGGUGCAACACUGAAGUAGAGGGCGCAUCAUUGCCAGAGCCUGUUAGCAAUGCCAUGGUGGAGAACACGUACCUCAGGAGAUAUAGAAGGCGAUAUUCUUGCAGCCACUGGUACAACACUGAAGUAGAGGGCGCAUCAUUGCCAGUGCCAUGGUGGGGCAAACUGUAUUUAAGGCGGUUUAGAAGGCAAUAUUCUUGCAGCCUGCAACACUGAAGUAGAGGGCGCAUCAUUGCCAGAACCUGUUAGUAGUGCCGUGGUGGGGAAACCUGUACUUAAGGCGAUAUUCUUGCAGCCACUGAUACAACACUGAAGUAGAGGGCGCAUAAGACAUUCAUUUUCCGACAAUCGGUAAUAAGACUCCAACCUGAACUUCAACCAUCAUCUCCAAGAGACAACCGUCACCACUGCAGAACAUCUAGAUCUCCAGUGAGCAGCGUUCACUAUUCAACUGAUUGGUCCAACUUGUAGAAAAAUUAAGGAAGAGUUAUCGCUUUGAGCCAAACAACUUCUCGCUUAGUUUUUUCCCCUCUGUUGGCAACUUCCAGGAGCUGAGGAGUCAACUACAGACGACGUUUCAUUUUUUUGUUUCAGCCUUUGCGUUCUCUUGCACUUACACUAUGUAUCAGCGUAGAGUUAAAGCACUAUAUAAAAGGGUAGUCUCACAGGCUGGUCUCGAUGAAAUUUGUGAAGAAUCACAAAAUUUUAUUAAUGAUGCUAUGCUUGAAUUGAGAUCUGUAACAUCCAAGAUAUAUGAUGAGCGAAUUAUUAGCGCACUUGAGUGGCACAAUAAAUGUAGAGCGCUCAUUGCUAUUUUAAGAAAGUUUAGAAAACAUUAUGCCCUUCAAGGAUCUCAAAAAGAAAGAGUUUUAGAUCUAUUGCGUACAAGCUAUUAUUAUCAACUUCACUUUUAUUUCAUAAUGAAAAGCGGAGAAAGAAUCGAUUACUAUAAUCGACGAACCAAAAAUCGGAACAAAAUGCGAAAAUAUCAAAGUAAUAUUAAAAUAUUGAAUUGUUGCCGUUGCAGUAAAUUCUUUUAAUACAAUUCAGUUCUUUUUAAAAAUAACUUUUCAUGUCCAUAUAAGUUUUAGUUUCUGAUUAAAGUAGUUCCAUUCUGUUUGAAAUAUUUCAUAGUCCAAAAAUAUUUUGAGAUAAUGCACCAAUGCAUUUAAGUUUAGAACAAUGUUCCCGCAGGUCGGGCAUAAUCAUUGUAGAGUUUUUUUCAAAUUUGUCCAGAAAUUUUAGUAAUAUGGCCAUGCAAUGAAUUCUUUUUAAUACAAGAAAGAAGUUGUUUUUACAAACAAUAUUAAAUUAGAAAUAAGAUUAUUAGGUUUUUUAAUACAAGAAAGAAGUUUUUUUACAAACAAUAUUAAAUUAGAAAUAAGAUUAUUGAGUUUUUCAAAGAAAGAACUUUUUUUAAAAACAAUAUUAAAUUAGAAAUAAGAUUAUUAGGUUACCAUUUAGAUUAUUAUAGUAAUAGAAACGACGAUGACAGUAUUAAUUGAAUAUUUUUUGUGUACACUGAAAAAAAAGAUUUGUAAG